CAAGAGAGACUUCGCCCGGACUCCUACGGGAGCCGGGCUCCACCCACGACCUCUGUAGCAAAAGAGACUUCGCCCGGACUCCUACGGGAGCCGGGCUCCACCCACGACCUCUGCAGCAAGAGAGACUUCGCCCGGACUCCUACGGGAGCCGGACUCCACCCCACGACUUCUGCAGCAAGGAAGACUCCGCCCGCCCUGGCAAUGGCCCUUAUGUGCCCUCGUGAGAAUGGGAGGAGAACCUCAUCCUGAUGGUGACGAAACCCGACCGCCCAAUAAGAUCGGAUGAAGGAAAAAAGCCCCUUAGCGGCACCCCCACGCUCCUGUGCAACCCCGCAAAGGGCGAGGGGAGGGCCCUCACUCGGAGAAGAGG
rnacentral:lncRNA from 1 species